UUGAAAAUUGAGGUGAGCCUUAGAUUUGAUAGUGCAUUAGACUUUAAUUUCACAUGCUCAAGAAGGGUUUUAGCAUUAGUUUCUUAAGCGGCUAUCCACCUACAUAUGAAGGAUGACAAAUCUUUAAAAAACGGUUUGUGGUUUUGCACAGACACUUAUUUUUCAAAUAUUUUUUUAAAAUCCCACAUGAGAUGAUCAAACUUUUCUGAAUGUCUAAAGUGUUUCUUUAGAUCCAUUCUUUGUUGGUGUUAUGUACCUUCAAGUUGUUUUUGAUUUAUGGUGAUCAAGUUUUAGAGUUGGUAAUAUUUAUUCACAAGAGGGUGGCCUUUGCCUUUCUCUGAGACUGUGGCGCAUGUGACUGGCCCAAGGUCUCCCAAUGAUUUCAGCUUACACUUGUACCUUUAAAAAAAAUCAGUUUCAUUUCCUGUAAUUUGAAUCGAUUGCUCUGGAACAGUGGAAAACAAGAUUGCUUUAUCUUCGGUAUGACAUCAUUUCCAAUAUUUAAACAUGGCUAAAAUGCAUCUCUUAAUCUUCUCUUCUCCAGGCUAAACAUAAACAUUUCCAUAAACCGCAUCAAAUAGGGCAUGGUUUCCGUUUUGGUCAAAUUCUGAACAUGUUACAGCUUGUCAAUAUUCUUCUUGAAUUAUGUUGCCCAGAAGUAGACACAGUAUUCCAGGUCCUCACAAUAUUCCGGGUCUGACCAAAGCAUAAUAGAGUGGCAGUUUUAUUUCCCUCAAUCUAGAUACCGUACUCUUUUUGGCCCCUUCUACACUUCCAUAUAAUCCACAUUAUUAAAACAGAUAAUCCACAUUAUCUUCUUUUGAAUUAGAUUAUAUGAGUCUACGCUGCCAUAUAAUCCAGUUCAAAGCAGAUAAUCUGGAUUUUAUAUGGCAGUGUAGAAGGGGCCUAGAAUCACAGUGAUUUUUAAAGCUGUUGAUUCAUGUUCAGUUUAUGAUCUACUAAGAAUUUUAGAUCAGUGAGUAUUUAAGGCAAUAUUUUUAUAGCACUAUGUUUCUAAUUUAAGCACCGUGGCAGAACCUUGGGGUUUAUAGUUUGUGGAGGUGUUAAAGUGUUCUGCUAUGAAACCAUGGUAGUCAAAACUGAAUCACAAUGCUAUAAUUCUGAAGUGUGCAAAGGAUCUUGUUGUUGGCCAGUAAUGCACAUGCCUCUGACAACGCUGAUGCAAUAGUGAAGUGUUUUAAACAUAUUGUCCAGUUUUACAUAUAGGCCUGAAAUAGAGAGAAACUGGGGCAUUUCCCAAACAUGGCUCUGGGAUUAGGCUUUCGGUGAUUAGUACAGUGCAAUAAUAGACUUGGAAUUAUGUGUAAUUGAUGAAGGAACGGCCUUGGACUAUGAUUUUCAGGCUCCUUGGCUGUCUGGGAGAAAAAUUUUCCAGUCCAUGGAAAAUUCCGCAGUAUUCUAUUAGACAAUCCUCCCAACUUUCCUGUGAAGAUAGAGAGAUUGAGAGAGAAAAUAAGAAAGCAAGCAAGCAAGCAAUUUGGAAAUUAAGACGAAAAUCUUAAUGUUACCAGAUCAAAGAGAAAUGAGCUAGAAGAUGCACUGUCCAUUUGUGCUUGAGUUGCUUGGAAUUGCAGAAAUGUGAUGGACUAGUGAAGAAAAUGGCAAAGUUGGAUAUUUACAAGAUGAGAAUGAGAACCUGGGGCAGCCUUGGAAAACAGGCUGACGGGCUGACCUUCAGUGAUUUUGAGAACUUUCCCUUAGUUUUCAAAAGUCUUGUCUUCUAUCUUCAGUCUCAUUAACUUCUGCAUCUGACAAAUCAUCCUCAGAAGACAGUUUCUUGGAGAAAGGUUGCUGUGGGCCUCUCUCAGGAAUGUGACCUUGAGAAGCACUCCAUUCCUCGGGCCUCUCAGCGAGGCCUGGACUUGACUCAGACCCAGGAAAACCUUCAUCCCCAGUGACAUCAGACACAGGCACAGGAAAACCAUCAUCCUCAUUGACAUCAGACAUAAUCACAGGCUGAACUACAACACCAAAUUUCUAGCAUUUUGCAGUGAGACCUUCAAAAUCAAUCACAACUAGAAUCCUAUACUUGCUGUGUUCACAUUCCCUUGAUAACUUUGUUUGCCCCUUUUGUUUCAUGUCUAAAGUGUAUUUGUAAAAGCUCAGCUGAAGUUUCAAGUUACUGUAAUAUGAGAAAACUGAGAGCCGAAUAAAAUUUUCAUUUGGGGAGACAGAA